UGCAUACUGUAUAAGGAGUCAAAUUCAAAUUAACAUAGCCCCAUAUAUAAAUUUACUCCGACGAAAGCUAGCGCCGUUACCAAAACAAGGAGGUACCCAUCAACGCUAAGUACCUCUUCACGGAAGAGUCAGCGUGGAUCUUGAGGAGAGAAUCUCACCUUCUACACAGGUACCAGUUACCUCGAUGGCUCUGUAGCCGGAGCUACAGCUCGAUUAUCUCCGGUGUAUGAAGACACGACUAAGCUGAAUCAGAUCAACAGGGUCCUGAACGGAUAGGGACAAUGAGUGGACUGGUUUGGGAACUGGAGCUGUGUUUAAGGUAGCGCGUGGGGUCUUGGGAUCUCUUUAUUGAACGUGUAUCAGACAUUACACAUUAUCCGAAUCCUAGAGGUACUCAUCUUUGUAA